GUCGAGAAUUUUUCACAAUGGGCGAAAGCCUGAUGGAGCGACGCCGCGUGGGGGAUGAAUGGCUUCGGCCCGUAAACCCCUGUCAUUCGGGAUCAAUUCCGCCAACCUAACACGUUGUCGGUUGAUAGUACUGAAAGAGGAAGGGACGGCUAACUCUGUGCCAGCAGCCGCGGUAAUACAGAGGUCCCAAGCGUUGUUCGGAUUUACUGGGCGUAAAGGGAGCGUAGGUGGCGGGCAAAGUCUAAUGUGAAAGCUCUGAGCUUAACUCAGAAAUGGCAUUGGAUACUGGCCUGCUUGAGGAUUGGAGGGGAGACUGGAAUACUUGGUGUAGCAGUGAAAUGCGUAGAUAUCAAGUGGAACACCAGUGGCGAAGGCGAGUCUCUGGACAAUUCCUGACACUGAUGCUCGAAAGCUAGGGGAGCAAACGGGAUUAGAAACCCGUGUAGUCC
rnacentral:rRNA from 1 species